rnacentral:rRNA from 1 species
GUCGAGAAUAAUUCACAAUGGACGAAAGUCUGAUGGUGCAACGCCGCGUGGAGGAUGAAGGUCUUCGGAUUGUAAACUCCUGUCAUCGGGGAGUAAGACCUGGCGGUAAAUAGCCGACAGGGUUGAUAGUACCCGAAGAGGAAGGGACGGCUAACUUCGUGCCAGCAGCCGCGGUAAUACGAAGGUCCCAAGCGUUGUUCGGAAUCACUGGGCGUAAAGGGAGCGUAGGCGGCGUGGUAAGUCAGAUGUGAAAUCCCGGGGCUCAACCCCGGAACUGCAUCCGAUACUGCCAUGCUUGAGGGUUGGAGAGGUAGCUGGAAUUCUCGGUGUAGCAGUGAAAUGCGUGGAUAUCGAGAGGAACACUCGUGGCGAAGGCGAGCUACUGGACAACAUCUGACGCUGAGGCUCGAAGGCCAGGGGAGCAAAAGGGAUUAGAUACCCCUGUAGUCC